GCUCCUCUAGUCUGGGACAGAAGUCGGGUCACAUCCGAUCGAGCGGGGUUCGAUUCCCUGGGGGAGUAC
rnacentral:tRNA from 1 species